AAUGAUUCAUAAGCGCCCGGACUGUUUUGGACGAAGAUAAAACAGUUGACGAGGAGGAGGUUUAUCGAACAUCGGCGGAUACCUCCCGGUUGUAUGUCACGACCGCAAGCGUGUACUGAAAACGAAGAGGCGACUUUUCGUACAAAGAACACACAUUGGCACAU
rnacentral:ncRNA from 2 species